UAAAUAUUUAUUAAAAUUAGUAAAAUAAUUGAUACAUAGUAAAUUUCAAUGAAUCAUCAUGAGAUUUUAGGCAAUUAAGAUCACAACUAUCCAUGCUUAUUCUUUUGAAUGAGAACCAGAAUGGUUCUGACAAAAUAUUAAAUGAUGCUAACUGUUAUUCUUGUAAGGAUUUUCUUAUCUUUCUGCUUUGUAACUAAAGAAAGAAAGAAACAAACAAACCCACACAUCUCAGAUCAGGUUAAAAGUUUCCUAUGAAAUGAAAAUGCUGAUUUUUUUAUACUGACGAGUUCAGGGCAUAUGGUUUCCAGACUAUGUUGCUGCCAUAUCUAACUCAGAGAAUCUGGUCUCACCAUCUUACAGAAAUACAUUUAAACUUGUGGAAAAGAGAUGACAACAAUGCUGCCAACAAAGUCUCCUCUUACACAGUGAUAUUUAGCAGUCACAAGAAAUCAAAUGAUUUUGAAGAGGAGAGCAAAGAAGGCUUUCACAGAAGGAACUGAGGGGUGGAAGAAAUGUGUUUGUGAACAUGAAGGGUUCAGGAGUCUAUAGGAAAAUGAGUUUGAAAUCACAAAUACUAUUGAUAUAUACUAUACUUGAAAGAAAUAUUCUGAAAGUGCAAAUGCAUUAGAAACAGGUGAAAUAUCUACACUGAGACUUUUACAUCCCUAGUAAAAAGAAGAUACUGAAAGAACAGGGAAAACAUAGAAUAGGUAUUAAAAAUAAGGUGACAAACUGACAGCCUAAUAUCCUGUUCAGAAAUGAGACAAAGUUUUUGAAAAAACUAUUUCUCCAUGAACUUUCCAACUUUUCACUCUGCAGACGCCAGCCUGUGAAAAAAUGCAGUGCUAUUUUUGCAUGUAUGGGAAGUGGGACGAUAACACUUCUGCCUUCUGAAAUGUUAUUGCUUCUCUGUUUAGCUGAAAAUUAUCUGUCCCUCAGUACUAUUCCAAUUCAUUUUAGAAUAACAGUCUUGAGGUGAAAAUUCAUAGAAAGAUGUGAAUUUUAUCUGAUAGAUACCUGUUACUCUGUUCUGUACAGACAUCUGGCAGAUAAAAACUGCUCUUUCUGUGUUUUUGUUAGCAAAGCAAAUAUAUUGAAUUAUUCACUCAUUUUUAAAUUAAUUUUUCACUGAACGUAAUAGCAUUCCAUCAUUUUCAAAAGGCAAAUUGGAAUGCAGAGCAUAGGUAGCCACUGCGCAUGUUAAAAUACCCUUUGUAAAAAGUAUCCAAUUCUUUUUUCAGUUCUGUUUUUUUAUUCUCUGAAAAUGUCUUUAUUUUCUAGGCUGUUAUGUCAGAAGAAACUCAGAUAUACUUCAGAUAUACAGGCAGAGGAGCAGACUCAGUUACGUCUCUUUGCUCCUGAUCCUGCAGUAACUUUCCAACCACAUGAAAAAUUAUCACAUUGUCAACACUGCACUGAUGGGUACAUUUUAAUGUAGCAUCUACUACAAGUCACAUUGUUUAUUUGCUUACUGGUAGAGGUUUGGUUUGGAACACAUACAGAAUCACAGAAUGAUUGAGGUUGGAAGGGACCUCUGACGGUCAUCUAGUCCAACCCCCCACCAACCAGGGUCACCUACAGACAGUCAUAGGAUUUAUGGACACUCACACACCUGCAUAAUCUUACAGUGUAUGGGAUGAUCAAAAUAAUCCUGGACUGACAGAACAGCUGCUAUCAUUAAAUGUGACAAAGAAACCAUGCAAAACCCAGAUUUAUUAUUAUCAUUCCUAAUUCCUCUGGCUAUGAAUUGUGGGUACAGAUUUAAAUCACACCUCUUCUACUAAUAAGGACACUGGUGACUACAUUUGGACUUUUAAUUUUUGACAUUCCCCAUCCAUCCCAGUAAUGUCUGUAAUAAUUGUCCUCAGAACAAAUGAACAUUAAAAAACAGAGUAUACACAGCAUCUUGUGAACUGUAAUCAAAGCUGGGAAGCAGAAGUGAGUGGUUCUAGUGAGUGGUAAGACCAAGUCAGUAACAAAGUUUGGGCACGCCUGGAAAAUAGAACCAAACAUAUAUACAUAAUUAAAGAAAAUAAUCAAGAAGGCUAUGAUGAAACAGGAACUGAAUGCAUUAUAUGCAGACAAAACAAACUAACAAACAAACAAAAACUAGUUGUAGUUGCAUAUCUUGACUUGAGCUAGAUAGUCAGAAACAACUGGUAUGGUCCUCUUGCGUUCCUCUAAAAUGGAAAAUCAAGUUGGUUCAGAAGUCAUUCCUUAAUAAAUGGGGCUCAUCCUAUCCUCA
rnacentral:lncRNA from 1 species